CAGCAACAGCUGGUGAUACAGAGGUAUCUUAGUUCUGUUUCAGUUUUUUUGAUACAGAGGUAACUUAAUUUCAGUUUUUUGAUUGAAUUAUCAUGUUCAUAUUAGUUCUUCUUGGGAACAAAAUAUGGAUAUACUGACUUUAAAUGCUAUUGUUAUUUGAGAAUACAGGCAUGAAGAGUAACCCUUUUCCUGUUUAGUAUUUACCAUUAUUACUAGGGCACCACUGAGAUCCAGAUUAUAGGACCUCAGAUGAUGAGCAUUCAGUAGUAAAAAAGAAAUUGGAUUUUGAUUGAGUUGAAGUAUGUUUCUCCUGUAAGGAAUGUUAUGGUAAUUAGCCUGUUGUUACCUGAAGCAAAUACAUGAUUAGUAUAUUUUGGACAGUGAAGGCCAUAAAAUUUAUCCGUUGCAGUCCCUCCAAAUUACUUUG
rnacentral:misc_RNA from 1 species